rnacentral:rRNA from 1 species
ACGCUCGACACCUAUGGGAGGCAGCAGUGGGGAAUAUUGCACAAUGGAGGAAACUCUGAUGCAGCGAUGCCGCGUGAGGGAAGAAGGUUUUCGGAUUGUAAACCUCUGUCUUUGGGGACGAUAAUGACGGUACCCAAGGAGGAAGCUCCGGCUAACUACGUGCCAACAGCCGCGGUAAUCUGAGCGGGCUGGCAAGGC